CCAGCUAAGCAGUAGGUUCUUAGGAAAACUGUGUGUCUUGGAGAAUGAAUUUCCAUCAGAGGAAUGAGACCAGCCUGGGAGGACGUCACAGAAGACUGGAAAGAUGAGAACUGUAAGAGAAGCUCACAGCCCCUGGGUUGAAAAGAAGCAGAGGGCCUGGCCAGCAGGGAGAGAACCGUACAGAGGUUUACCAAAGUCUUCAUUUCAGAUGGGCCUGAGGGAGGGAUAGGAUUUCCCCAGGAGCAGAGUGGGGAGGAAGAGCACAUUCUAAAUCCAGCAAAGAUCAUGAGGAAAGGUCUAGAGGGGAAAAACAACAGAUGGGAUGGAGAAAACCACAUAGUCCAGGAACCCUGGGGAGUGUGUAGACUGUAGAGGGAUAGUUGGAGAUAAUUUCAGAGAAGGAAAUUGGAGGAGGGCAUGUAGGGCUUUGAUUCCAGAGUGAGGAGUGUUAUGUGCUUAGGAGGCAACAGGGAGCCGCUUGUCUGAACUCUCAUCUGGACUGGUGGAAGUCCAGGGUGCUGGCGGUGAGAGAACAAAGUAGACUCGGACUGCCCUGGAAAAUGCAGAACCCUGGGCACGUAGGACCAAAAGGGGAAUCAAGACUGAGACUGUCACUGAAGCAUAAAUUCAAAGAGAUGCAGAUGAGAGGAGGGGCCUGGUGGAAGAUGAAAGUCUGGAAAACUGUGAUGCCAGACAAGAAGUGGACUCUGUGCGGAGGUUGGAGUGCAGUGGUGUGAAUAUGGUUUACUGAGGCCUCAAUCUCCUGGGUUCAAGUGAUCUUCAUAUCUCAGCCUUCUGAGUAGCUGG
rnacentral:lncRNA from 1 species